GAUGAACGCUGGCGGCGUGCCUAAUACAUGCAAGUCGAGCGAACAGACGAGGAGCUUGCUCCUCUGACGUUAGCGGCGGACGGGUGAGUAACACGUGGAUAACCUACCUAUAAGACUGGGAUAACUUCGGGAAACCGGAGCUAAUACCGGAUAAUAUAUUGAACCGCAUGGUUCAAUAGUUAAAGACGGUCUUGCUGUCACUUAUAGAUGGAUCCGCGCCGCAUUAGCUAGUUGGUAAGGUAACGGCUUACCAAGGCAACGAUGCGUAGCCGACCUGAGAGGGUGAUCGGCCACACUGGAACUGAGACACGGUCCAGACUCCUACGGGAGGCAGCAGUAGGGAAUCUUCCGCAAUGGGCGAAAUCCUGACGGAGCAACGCCGCGUGAGUGAAGAAGGUCUUCGGAUCGUAAAACUCUGUUAUUAGGGAAGAACAAAUGUGUAAGUAACUAUGCACGUCUUGACGGUACCUAAUCAGAAAGCCACGGCUAACUACGUG
rnacentral:rRNA from 1 species